AUCAACACAUUUAUAUUUCUAGAUGCUGCACUUUGCUGUUUCAUUACCCAGACAGCUGUUUAAGGUCAGACCAAGGCAGAGUGUAGUAUCAGUACUUAGGGGUCAUAGGUCAUACCAAGGCAGAGUGUAGUAUCAGUACUUAGGGGUCAUAGGUCAUACCAAGGCAGAGUGUAGUAUCAGUACUUAGGGGUCAUAGUGGUCAUGGCUGAUAUACAUGGACUAGAAAACAAACUUUAAGACCAUUUUUCUAAGAUUCACUGUUUGUGUAGAUGCUGUUUGUCUCUUUAGGACUGUAGUUCAGGUGGCUGUUUGUGUAGAUGCUGUUUGUCUCUUUAGGACAGUAGUUCAGGUGGCUGUUUGUGUAGAUGCUGUUUGUCUUUACUAGGACAGUAGUUCAGGUGGCUGUUUGUGUAGAUGCUGUUUGUCUCUGUAGGACAGUAGUUCAGGUGGCUGUUUGUGUAGAUGCUGUUUGUCUCUGUAGGACUGUAGUUCAGGUGGCUGUUUGUGUAGAUGCUGUUUGUCUCUUUAGGACUGUAGUUCAGGUGGCUGUUUGUCUUUGUAGGACUGUAGUUCAGGUGGCUGUUUGUGUAGAUGCUGUUUGUCUUUGUAGGACAGUAGUUCAGGUGGCUGUUUGUCUUUGUAGGACAGUAGUUCAGGUGGCUGUUUGUCUUUGUAGGACAGUAGUUCAGGUGGCUGUUUGUCUUUGUAGGACAGUAGUUCAGGUGGCUGUUUGUCUUUGUAGGACAGUAGUUCAGGUGGCUGUUUGUCUUUGUAGGACAGUAGUUCAGGUGGCUGUGUGUCUUCGUAGGACAGUAGUUCAGGUGGCUGUUUGUGUAGAUGCUGUUUGUCUUUGUAGGACAGUAGUUCAGGUGGCUGCCCUUGCACUUAGUCUGCCUCCUGCCCCCCCAUCGUCAUGGUUACACCUUCCUGAAUACAAUGACUCCCAUACUUUGCUGAAACCUGUUCUGCCAG
ensembl:lncRNA